rnacentral:lncRNA from 1 species
AAAAUAAGUUAGUUGUUUAGAUGAGAACUUGAUUUAAAUGAAAAAAAUAAGUUAAUCGUUUGGAAGGGAAGUGGUUUGAAAGAAAAAUAAGUUAGCUAUUUGGAUGUGGACUUUAUUUAAACAAAAAAAAUAAGUCAUUUGUCUAGAUAGAGACUUGAUUUAAGGGAAAAAAAAAAAUCAGUUGUUUGAACAAGAACUUAAU